UAAGCGCAGCACACACAAUUACUGCCUGAGACUUGGCCUUAUCAGCGUAAACAAAGAAUAACUCCCACUAAAACUCUAUAUAUAACGUUAUACUAUAAGAACCUAUGCAAUAGUCAGCGUGCCCGCAAACAGCCAAGUAAGAUCAAUUUAUGCCCGUGCCCAAAUUACUUUGAGGACCACUGCUGUAAAGUCAAACUGAUAACGGUUGGCAAAUAAAAAAGCACGUACUAAACUAAACAAUUUGCCUAUUUUUUAAAACAUUUUGUGUCCUUUUGGCAUGCCGUAGUUAUUUGACGAAAUAAAAAAAAUCUUAUGCUAACUCAAAUAAGAAAAGCUGAAUAGCGGUGCGAAAAAAAGAAAAAUCACUAAACUCAAACUAGCUAAAUCCGAGGAGGUUAUAAAUAGUACCCCAAAACUCACUAAACUCUUUAAAAGUCAGUGUCAGAAGAAUGAAAAGUUAGGAAGAGAGCCACAUGAGUCAGAGGAGCAAGCAGAGAGCAGCGAGUCGGUUAGCGCUGAGUGCACAGCCACUACAGCAGAGGAGAAAAACGAGAGCCAGCCAUUGAACUGCCAAUUUAAGGCGAGAGAAACUGACAAAACAGAUAAUGCUAUUGCUAGCUCUGAUACGGCAUGUUGGGGUCCGAUAACUGAGGAGGUGAGGUCGCACUAGGUGAGCAAGUGUCCCCUUAUUUGCCAGUAAGACAGUACUUUUUCCGCCUCAGAGAGAAUUUAAUGAAUUACUGAAUUUAAUGACUCAAUCAUUUAACUCUCAUGUUCACUGAACAUGACCUGCUUCGCCAACUGGACUUCACGGACAUUAGUAAGGAAUUAUUUUUUAAGUUUUAAGGCAAGAAAGCAUAAGAUCUAGCAAUGAUUCAGUUUGCAGGCAGUACAGAAGAACUUGUUACAGCGAUGGAAAAGCAUUCUGUCAUCCUUCAUCUGGCAGGCUGUUUGAGGGUAGUCAGAAAUCUUGAAGACAAGGAACAAAUCCUGCAGAACUACCUGAAAUGGUACAUUAUCACACGGAAUGCACAUGCUAUCAACGGAUCAAUCAAGAACACCUAAAGCUUCCCUGUGUGCUGUACUGCAAUUCUGUACAGGCGUUUCCUCCAUUCCACCAGCAGGGUUUCACCCAAAGGCUUCAGUGGACUUUCUUCAUGAUGAGUCACCAUUCCCCAUUGCCAGCACAUGUGCAAAUACAAUUAAACUACCAAUCACUGACAGCUAUGAUACUUUCAAAGAGAACAUGGACUUUGGCAUUCUUAACUCACCAGGAUUCAGUAGACCUUAGAACAGUGGUUCUCAAACCUUGGCCUGGACAACCAGUGUUUGUUUUUUGUUCCAUAGCCUGGGAAGCUUAUUGUUAUUGUUAUUGUUAGUAUUAUUAUUCUGAGGCCAUAAGUCACAAGGUUCAGCAGCCAUAUUGGAUCUUGUGAAAUGUUUUGUCAAUUAGUCCAAAGUCUUGUCAAAAACAGCUAAUGGUGGAUAGCUGACACUGGCUGCAGAGAGUGCUGUUUUAGAAAAUGGAGAACCAUAGCCUUAAAAUUCUUUCUCUACUUUUUUAUUAUUAUUAUUUUUAGGCAUUAUUUUUAGGUGCAGGAUAAUGUAAGACAUUUUAUUUCACAAGAAAAACCCAAACCAUAAUAGAAGUGAAAAAUGUACCUUAACUUGGAUAACAACUUUUAUCUGUAAAAAAUAUUCCACAGUAUGUAAAAUGUGUUUCAUGUUACACAAGACUCAGUCGUGUUUAUGAAUAGUUGACCAUAAGUCUAGACUAAGGUUUUGUAUAAUAGACUCAGAGACAUUAAUGUAAGUUGCGAUUUGGUAUGUCCCUCUAACAAAACUCCUUCAGGCUUUCAAAACCAUUAAUCAAGAAGCAUCGUUACAAGUUUUGAUCCAAGUUAUCAAUAAAUAGUGUUUUGUAUUUGCUGUAGAUUGAGUUAUUGAUUACAUUUCAUCCUCAGUCUGAGACACAGACUUCAGAGAUAAAACUUUUCUUUUGAAUUUUAUUACUUCACCUCAAAUUCCAAAAUACAUCAUAAAUCAGAUAGGGGGAAAUAGCACAAAACCUGAUGUGUAUAAUGCAGAGUAUAUAGAAUACCCUCCAAAACAAAAAAUGUAUGUUUGACAUUGCAUUGCCUAAACUUUGACAUUGAUUGAUUACUUUUCUAAAGAGUUUUACAGUUAACAUGUAAUGGGUGUACCUUUACUCUUGUCUCUCAGAAAACAUGUUUGUGUGUGUGUGUGUGUGUUACAUGUUCCCAUAUGUUGCUACAACUGUUUAAGGUGUGUGUAUUAUUAUUUUUACAUCCCGAACACUUAUGUAUUUAUUUAUUUAUUUAACACCAUUAUAUUGCAUUUUACAGUGCUCAGUUUCCAAGAUGGCUUUCCAAA